rnacentral:misc_RNA from 1 species
AAAAAAAAAAAAAAAAAAGAGAUUCUCAACCAAAAACAUGUAACUCUUGAACAGCCUCGCAUGACAAAGAUAUGAAGCAAACCCAAAAACUAGCAGAGAAACAAAGUCAGCAGUAAGGAGGAACAAUAACAUAAAGGGGGGUUGCUGACAGCACACCUACCCAAAGGGCAACAGAUUCACAAUAGCCAAGCUACAAAGUCCCUACUGCAAUGAAUGCCUUGUUUUGCCAGUGUGUCAACUACAAAGUUAGAUUCAUGCAGAGAAUAAAAAAAUGAAACAGAGGGCAACAUAUCUAUUUUGCCGCAAAUGGAAUUAGAAAUAGAACUAAAAUGCCAAGGAACAAGACUUGCAUUUUUCACCCACGAAACUGUAAUUUUUGGGUCGGAUUUAACAAAAAUUCCCAAAGAAGAGGCCCAAACAUCCACCUUCUGAGACAAAAUUGACAGAGCUUUCUCAAUUGUUAAGAAUUCAGUGGCAUUUGAUUCUCUAUUGCCAGCUGGGCAAGAAAACAUGAAAAGAAAGUCGCCCGAUGAGUUACGUAGAGCACCUCCCACCGCAUAUGGCCCAAACUUUCCAACUGAAGACCCAUCUAUAUUCCAUUUCAAAAAAAUAAUGGGCAGGUGGGGACCAAAAUACUUUUGCCCCUGACUUAGAAUGAUUAGUCCAAAGUUUAAUGGAUGAAGGUGAAAUAAUAAAUCCUAACCCGUACACGGGAAACCCCAGUCUAAAGCCUUCAACCGAACAGAAACAUGGUAAAGAAUAGAGGUGAAAACAUCAAGCACAAUGGAAUCUUUAUCUUCAAACACCUUCUCAUUCCUAGCAAUCUAAACUGACCAUAAAACUGCAAAAAAGAGAAUGGUCCAUACCUUUGAUUAAUUUACCCAAAACCAUUGAUCUCUAUUAUAACAAAAGAGAGGAAACUGAUUUAGGAAGGCAAAAACUUAAGCCCCACCAUUGCAAAAACAAACUCCAAACUGACCUGCAAAUCUGCAUGAGAGAAAAAGAUGAGAAGGAGUUUCGGCCUCAUCAUUACACCUUGAACAGAGAUUUUGUGAAGGAGGGAUUAUACCGAAUUAACACAACCAAUCUUUGGAACAGACCUUCUCAUUGCAAGCCAACCAUGCCAAGAUUUCCACUUUCGGUGCAGCUAGACCUAGCCAAACAUUUGGAAAGCUAACUGACAAAUCACUUGAGGAGCUAAGAAGGCAAUUGUACCUUAAUUUCACUGAGAAGACACCAUUUGUCACAGGUUGCCAAAUCAGCUUAUCCUCUCUUGUAGAGCACGGCUACACAUGACUGAUAAGAUUAAGAAGUUGAGCCAAUAGUUGAAGCUCCUAGUCAAAAUAAAUUUUUGUGCCAUUCAGAGUUCCAGUUCCAAUUACCACCUCUCCAUAAGCCCAUAUCAUUGACAGCUGCUCCUUGAUUCAAAGAGAGAUUAAAUAAACUACUAAAGGGGAAUUUAAGACGUGGGACCCAUUUAUUAGGCACAACCAUUCCCAAUACUGAACCGAACCUGGUCAAGAGCAUAGAAGUUAGAAGCAGUAGGCUUAACUAAGUUUUGAAUAUUUCUCCAUAGCAGUGAGAUAGCAUUACCGGUAUCCAAAGGAAUACCACAUUCGGACUGAAAAUUGUAUCUUGACUGUAGAAUUUGAACCCAUAGAAAGUUAUGAAGUGUGUGAAAUGCCACAACCACUUGAACAAUAAAGCUUGGUUAUGAAGCAAUAUAUCUUUGAUGCCAAGCCCUCCAUUAACUUUUGGUUGAAGCAGUGUAUUCCAAUUUACAAGAUGGAGUUUAUGUGAAGUCACAUCCCCAUACCAUAAAAAAGGUUGCAUAAGCUUCUCAUUCUUCGGGCAACCUUCGUAGGGAUUUUAAAGAUGGAAGGAUAACAGAUGAGCAUACUGGAUAGGCAUUAUUUAAUCAAAGUAAGCCUUCCAACCAUAGGGAGCACUUUGCCUUUCCAAAAAGAAAGCUUUUCCUCUAUCUUGUGAACAAUAGGCAGC